UGGCAAGAUGGCCGAGUUGGUCUAAGGCGUUAGACGUCAGUAUCCCCACAUUGAUCUUACACUCAGAUCCCAAACUAACUCCCACAUAGUCAAGACACUAAGUCGUCUUCUCUGUGACACAAACACAGUGAGCAUUCUAAUCUCGCAAGAGGCACGGGUUCGAAUCCCGUUCUUGUCAU